rnacentral:rRNA from 1 species
GGACGAACGCUGGCGGCGUGCCUAACACAUGCAAGUCGAACGGAAGUAGAGACUUCGGUUUUUACUUUAGUGGCGAACGGGUGAGUAACGCGUGAGGAACCUACCUUUCAGUGGGGGACAACAGUUGGAAACGACUGCUAAUACCGCAUGAUACUUUUUGGGGGCAUCCCUGAAAAGUCAAAGCUUUAUGUGCUGAAAGAUGGCCUCGCGUCUGAUUAGCUAGUUGGUGAGGUAACGGCCCACCAAGGCGACGAUCAGUAGCCGGACUGAGAGGUUGAACGGCCACAUUGGGACUGAGAUACGGCCCAGACUCCUACGGGAGGCAGCAGUGGGGAAUAUUGGGCAAUGGGCGCAAGCCUGACCCAGCAACGCCGCGUGAAGGAAGAAGGCUUUCGGGUUGUAAACUUCUUUUGUCAGGGACGAGUAGAAGACGGUACCUGACGAAUAAGCCACGGCUAACUACGUG